rnacentral:rRNA from 1 species
UACAGGGGGUGCAAACGUUGCUCGGAAUCAUUGGGCGUAAAGCGCACGUAGGCGGUCUGUUAUGUCGGAUGUGAAAUCCCUCGGCUCAACCGAGGAACGGCGCUUGAUACUGCAUGGCUUGAGGGAGACAGGGGUAAGCGGAACUGAUGGUGGAGCGGUGAAAUGCGUUGAUAUCAUCAGGAACACCGGUGGCGAAAGCGGCUUACUGGGUCUCUUCUGACGCUGAGGAACGAAAGCUAGGGUAGCGAACGGG